UGGACUAAACGUCUGAAACUGUAAGGCACCCCCAAUUAAAUGCUUUCCUUUAUAAGAGUUGCUGUGGUCAUGGUGCUCUUCACAGUAAUAAAACCCUAACUAAGACAGAAGGACAGUAGUCCUAACAGGUGCCCUUUACCAGCAGCAGGGAUGGAUACCUCAGUGAGAAGCUGACACACUGUUCUCUCUUUGUCAGAGUGGAAUGGAUGGAAGGAGGCUACCUAAAAAGGAAGUUAUGCCCUUCAGUUCUGGGACAGCUCCUGUACCGAGACAUCCCUCAGGCAUGUCUUCAAAUGUAUGUGGUCACAGAGACCAGAGCCUUCUUCCUCCCAGAGGCCCGAUGAGGUGCACACUCGUGGCUAGCAGCAACAUUUGCCCAGUGGGUUUCUUGAAGGUGGAUGCCCAUCUUGAUGGGAAAGAGGACAAUUUUAAACGUAUAUAUCUAGAUACUAACUUCAUAAUAUAUUCUAAAUGUACCUUAAAAGAUUAUUAUUAUUAUUAUUAUUAUUAUUAUUAUUAUUAUUAUUACUACAGCAGUUAGGGCCUCAUAUCUGCUGGGAAAGUGCGUAUGCUAUAUUCCCAGCUCCAGACCCCAGCACAUAUUUAAUAUUUAAAGACCUCAAUGUUUUUGUUUUGUUCUGUUUUUCUCUAUUUUUAUUUUCUGUGUAUGGGUGAGUUAGUGGCUGAGCUUUUUUAAGUAAUAUUAAGUCUCUGUUCGGUUAUUCGGGAGCUGGCAGACAGGACAGAAACUUCUGCCAACAAUUCACCAAGGUAGUUGUGUUUGAAUAAGAAUGGCCCCCAUAGGCUCUUAGAUGUGAAUGCUUGGUCACCAGGGAGUGGCCCUGUUGAAAGGAUUAAGGAAGUGUGUCACUAGGGGGGCACUUGCAAGUUUCGAAGGCUCAUACAAGUCUGUCUCUGCCUGAGGAACAGGAUGCAGCUCCCAGCUCCUGCUCCAGCGCCAUGCAUGCCGCCAUGCUCCCUCACACAAUGAUGAUAAUAGACUAAGUCUCUGAAACUGUAAGUACGCCUCCAAUUAAAUGCUGUCGAAGAGUUGCCUUGACUAAGACAGUAGUGUUAGGUGACGUUUCUUUUCCUUUUUCUUUUUUGGUCUGUUUUUGGUGUUGUGGUCUGUGAGGAAACAUACCUUCCCAGGAAAAGUCAGGUGUAAAACACUGGGCACUGAUAGAAAGUAAGCAAAGGUGAAUCUGAAAGGAAGAGCUGCAUCACCCUGCAGCAGUGACAAGGCAUGCAGCCCAGGCCAAUGCAGCCGGUUGCUGUCUGACCUCUGCAGGCCCACAAUCGUCCACAGGUGAAAUGACUGAGGCCAUGCCAUCCUGUCCCAAUUGAUUUUAUGUCUGCUUAGUCACGUCUCAGGUUUCCACCCUGCACCAGCCACAUCUGCCUUGGCAAUGCUUCAAGGACUGUCUGUGACCUUGACCACGGGCCUUGGAAAGGAAGCAGAUGUUACUGCGCUGCUUGCUCUGAGUCCCUCACAAUACCUGCCCCUCCUGAGUACUGGUAUAAUUAUGAUUUCACCUCUAAAAGCACUGUAACCCCGAGCUUGGGCACCAAGAGGCUUUUCAGAGGCCUGAGCUCACUCUUCUUGGUCUGUCUGUCAAUGAAAAAAAGGACUCAACACUUCUAAUUUGCUCGAUCAGUGUGGUUGUCAAUAACUAUCUCCUAUGGAUUAUUUCAUAGGUACCACACAAAGUAAAUAAAUGUAAUAAAUAAAUAAAUGUUCGAAAACAACCAAUCAACCAAAAAAUGAUUGUUCAGUCAAUUCCAGGUAUGGUGUACAAGUUGUCUGAAUCAAUCCAGUCAUUUUCUUCAGUACCUAACCAAAUGAACAAAUUAAUACAGUAAGCUGGUUGGCUCUGAAGGAAAGAGCUCAGGGAUGUGUGCCCUAAAACAAGAAGUACUCAGCAAAGCCCCUUCUAAAGCCAUGCCCUGCAUAGUAAAUACCUCUGCCAGGCCACCUGCCAGUGAUUGUUGGUUCAAGGCAGGAGUGGCCAUGUUCUGAUAGCUAAAUUUGAACUUACUAUUUGUGGUCAAGGCCAUCUGAUUUAUUAAGUCUUAUGUAACCCUUCCCAUGAUCCUUAAAACCUCCUUUGGGGCUGGGGAGAUGGCCGAGUUGUUAGAAGAACUUGUUUCUCUUCCAGAAGACCUGGGUUCAGUGUCCAGGACCCAUAUGGUGGCUUACAACCAUUACAUGGGAUCUGACAUCUUCUGACCUCCAUGGCACCAGGCAUCCAUGGGGGAAGCUCCUUAAUAAGCAGGAAGGUAAACAACUUACAACAGCUUCAGGAAGUUUCUGAAACUGACCAGAUUCACCCCAUCUUCCCCGGUAAGAGUAAGCAAUAAAGCUGCAAAGAAGACUCAGAUAAGCCAAGCUGCAAAGAAAACUGAGACCAGACCAGCUGCUGAGAAAAAGCAGAAACCUGCCGAGCUGCCUGGAAGAACUCUCUAACCUGUUGUAGUGCCUGUGUGCGAGUCAUUUCUGCUCCUGUAAGCACCCCUCUUCCAUAUUCCGGUAAGUAGCCCACAAUAAAACUCACUAAUUCAUCAAGUUGGACCUUGGGGAUAUCUGUACUUCGGUCUGUCGUGGACUCAAUGUCUGAAGUGAGUCGACGUGCGUUGCAUCUCCUCAGGAAAAGUUUUGCCACACAACAACAACAAUAACAACAACAACAACAAAAAUCUAAGAAAGAAACCCUUCUCCCUGCCUCAGCGAUUGGAAAGCACAGUUUGGCAAGACACACAUGUAUUUUGCAAUUGAAAGAGUUAAAUCCCUCACCUGGAUCUGGCCUGACUCCCAGUGUUUGCUAAAGGAUUACUUGACUCUCCCUAAGUAAAGCAGGAGAUAAAGUAUUUGCCUUAGGAAUUAUAAAACAUGGAAACUUAAAGCCUGUCCCAGUGGGGUUAUAACCUCAGCCAUGGUAAAGCGUGAGGCAGUAAAACCUGUCACACUGGUGAUUAGCACACAACACCAAAUGUGUCCUAAUCUUAAGAUUGCAAACGCUGCCUGUUCUAAUUGGCUGACCUUAAACUCUUUUGUAAACGUACAGGCCUGCUUUUGUGAUUUUUGUGAACGUUUUGUCGGUCCUAACUGGUUGACGUAUGGUUGAACCCAACAACUCUGUAUUCCCGCUAUACUGUCUGUGUGUCCCAGUAUUGCCUCUGCUCGUCUCCUAUUCCAGUGGGGAGUGAGGAGCCCCAGCUGAGAUAAAGAUUUUUUUUACUUUUGCAACACUACUGCCUCUAAGAAUUCUUUGAUCUAAAAUUGGGGAUACAACAGCAAUGACCGGUGGUUCCCCAUGAACUUCAUUCAUCUUUGGAGAAUAUUCCUCUGUUUGCUCGUUUACCAAAACGAGAAAUAAGAAUCAAACUCUCUUUGCCUGGCUGGUCACCAGAUCCCAGCUGCAGCCUCAAGUGGCCCGAGGCUUGCUGGGUGCUCCCAUCCUUGGCCCAGCCCCCUCCAGGAUCUCCUCAGACCAGGAGCGGAGCCAAGUCCAGCAGAGCCAAGGCCCGUCCUGCUGAGGCCCACAGGGAGCCAGCAGCCAGGUUAAAGCAAGAAUAUAAAAGAAAUAAGAAAGAAAGAAAGAAAGAAAGAGAGAGAGAGAGAGAGAGAGAGAGAGAGAGAGAGAGAGGGAGGGAGGGAGGGAGGGAGGGAAGGAAGGAAGGAAGGAAGGAAGGAAGGAAGGAAGGAAGGAAGGAAGAAAGAAAGAAUCAAACUCCCAGGUUAGCCCUUUCCAAAGCAUCUCUUUGUGACAUCACUGUCACAAUCUCAGCUUAGGACUGGGUGGUGACAGGUUAUGAGGAAGGAACCUCCCAACAGGAUGUCGGAAAUCAUAAGCAGGACAUGUGGUCAGGGUUAGAAAGAGGGACCUGGGUCCUGUGGCCUCUGGCUGUAGGUCUUGUCUGAGCUGCGUGGCCUUCCAGGAAGCCAGGGUAACCAUGGAGUUCAAGGCCCCACUGGGGUCCCAUUCACAAGUGUAUGUAUGCGCCUCUGGAAAUGAACCACAUGAGGGAACAAACUGAAUGGACACCAGCCACUGGAGCGUGUGGCUCUGGCAGGCCCAGCCCUUCUCCCCAUUCCCUCUACCUUCUAAAAACCGUCCGAUUACAUUCUAAAGCCAGCCACCGAGGUCCAUUCCCUUAUUUAGCCACUUCCUCCUCCUGAGGCUGACCACCAAGGUCCAGCUAUCAAUGUAUUGAAGUCCAGCAAUCAGAAGCCCCGUUGGCUCACCUAAUUAACAAGCCCAAUU